CCGACGGUGAGGGAUGAAAGCUGGGGGAGCAAACCGGAUUAGAUACCCGGGUAGUCCCAGCCGCAAACGAUGUGCGUUAGGUGUAUCGGUGACCACGAGUCACCGAGGUGCCGAAGAGAAAUCGUGAAACGUACCGCCUGGGAAGUACGGUCGCAAGGCUGAAACUUAAAGGAAUUGGCGGGGGAGCACCACAACAGGUGGAGCCUGCGGUUCAAUCGGACUCAACGCCGGAAAACUCACCUGAUAA
rnacentral:rRNA from 1 species